rnacentral:tRNA from 11 species
UUCUAGGCUUCAAAACCGCAUAUGGUGAUUCUUGUCUCUCAUUCCAUUGGUUUGAAUCCAUUCCACUUC